rnacentral:rRNA from 1 species
UUAGUGCGGACGGGUGAGUAACGCGUGGAAAACCUGCCGUAUACUGGGGGAUAACACUUAGAAAUAGGUGCUAAUACCGCAUAAGCGCACAGCUUCGCAUGAAGCGGUGUGAAAAACUCUGGUGGUAUACGAUGGUUCCGCGUCUGAUUAGCUAGUUGGUGGGGUAAUGGCCUACCAAGGCAACGAUCAGUAGCCGGCCUGAGAGGGUGAACGGCCACAUUGGGACUGAGACACGGCCCAAACUCCUACGGAAGGCAGCAG